rnacentral:rRNA from 1 species
GACGAACGCUGGCGGCGUGCUUAACACAUGCAAGUCGAACGGAAAGGCCCUGCUUUGUGGGGUGCUCGAGUGGCGAACGGGGGAGUAACACGUGAGUAACCUGCCCUUGACUUUGGGAUAACUUCAGGAAACUGGGGCUAAUACCGGAAAGGAGCUCCUGCUGCAUGGGGGGGGUUGGAAAGUUUCGGCGGUUGGGGAUGGACUCGCGGCUUAUCAGCUUGUUGGUGGGGUAGUGGCUUACCAAGGCUUUGACGGGUAGCCGGCCUGAGAGGGUGACCGGCCACAUGGGGCCUGAGAUACGGCCCAGACUCCUACGGGAGGCAGCAGUGGGGAAUAUUGCACAAUGGGCGGAAGCCGGAUGCAGCAACGCCGCGUGCGGGAUGACGGCCUUCGGGUUGUAAACCGCUUUCGCCUGUGACGAAGCGUGAGUGACGGUAAUGGGUAAAGAAGCACCGGCUAACUACGUG